AAUGAACGUUGGCGGCGUGGAUUAGGCAUGCAAGUCGCGCGAGAAAUUUUCUUCGGAAAGUGGAAAGCGGCGGAAGGGAGAGGAUAAGGUAGAAAUCUACCCUCGGGACGGGGAUAGCUGCGGGAAACUGCUGGUAAUACCCGAUAAUAUCUUUGGAUCAAAGGUGUGAUUCCGCCUGGGGAUGAGUCUACUUCCUAUUAGCUAGUUGGUAGGGUAAUGGCCUACCAAGGCAACGAUGGGUAGCGGGUGUGAGAGCAUGACCCGCCUCACUGGGACUGAGAACUGCCCAGACACCUACGGGUGGCUGCAGUCGAGAAUCUUCGGCAAUGGGCGCAAGCCUGACCGAGCGACGCCGCGUGCGGGAUGAAGGCCUUCGGGUUGUAAACCGCUGUCGUAGGGGAACAAAUGCAAGGGGGUUCUCUCUCUUGCUUGAGUGAUCCUAGGAGGAAGGGGAGGCUAAGCUCGUGCCAGCCGCCGCCGUAAAAC
rnacentral:rRNA from 1 species